UACGUAGGGACCGAGCGUUGUCCGGAAUCACUGGGCGUAAAGCGCACGUAGGCGGAUUGUUAAGUCAGGGGUGAAAUCCUGGAGCUCAACUCCAGAACUGCCUUUGAUACUGGCGAUCUCGAGUCCGGGAGAGGUGAGUGGAACUGCGAGUGUAGAGGUGAAAUUCGUAGAUAUUCGCAAGAACACCAGUGGCGAAGGCGGCUCACUGGCCCGGUACUGACGCUGAGGUGCGAAAGCGUGGGGAGCAAACAGG
rnacentral:rRNA from 1 species